GUGUGUAUGGGGGCAGUGUGUGUAUUGGGACAGUGUGUGUAUGGGGAUAGUGUUUGUGGGGCAGUGUGUGUAUGGGGGUCAGUGUGUGUAUGGGGACAGUGUGUGUAUGGGGGACAGUGUGUGUAUGGGGGACAGUGUUUGUGGGGAAGUGUGUGUAUGGGGACAAUGUUUGUGGGGAAGUGUGUGCAGGGCCGGUGCAAGGAUUUUUGCCGCCCUAGGCAAAAGUAAAGUUUGCCGCCCCCCUCCUCCCCCCCGUGACAUCGCAAUGCCCC